UACGGAAGGCAGCAGGGGGAAUAUUGCACAAUGGGCGCAAGCCUGAUGCAGCCAUGCCGCGUGUAUGAAGAAGGCCUUCGGGUUGUAAAGUACUUUCAGUCGUGAGGAAGGUGUUAAGGUUAAUAACCUUAGCAAUUGACGUUAGCGACAGAAGAAGCACCGGCUAACUCCGUGCCAGCAGCCGCGGUAAUACGGAGGGUGCGAGCGUUAAUCGGAAUUACUGGGCGUAAAGGGCACGCAGGCGGUUAAUUAAGUUGGAUGUGAAAUCCCCGGGCUUAACCUGGGAAUGGCAUUCAAGACUGGUUAGCUAGAGUCUUGUAGAGGGGGUAGAAUUCCAUGUGUAGCGGUGAAAUGCGUAGAGAUGUGGAGGAAUACCGGUGGCGAAGGCGGCCCCUGGACAAAGACUGACGCUCAUGUGCGAAAGCGUGGGGAGCAAACAGGGAUUAGAUACC
rnacentral:rRNA from 1 species